GACGAACGCUGGCGGCGUGCUUAACACAUGCAAGUCGAACGGUGAAGCUCCAGCUUGCUGGAGUGGAUCAGUGGCGAACGGGUGAGUAACACGUGAGCAACCUGCCCCUGACUCUGGAAUAAGCGCUGGAAACGGCGUCUAAUACUGGAUACGAGAAGGGUCCGCAUGGGCACUUUCCUGGAAAGUUUUUCGGUUGGGGAUGGGCUCGCGGCCUAUCAGCUUGUUGGUGAGGUAAUGGCUCACCAAGGCGACGACGGGUAGCCGGCCUGAGAGGGCGACCGGCCACACUGGGACUGAGACACGGCCCAGACUCCUACGGGAGGCAGCAGUGGGGAAUAUUGCACAAUGGGCGAAAGCCUGAUGCAGCGACGCCGCGUGAGGGAUGACGGCCUUCGGGUUGUAAACCUCUUUCAGCAGGGAAGAAGCGAAAGUGACGGUACCUGCAGAAGAAGCACCGGCUAACUACGUG
rnacentral:rRNA from 1 species